AUUGAACGCUGGCGGCAGGCCUAACACAUGCAAGUCGAGCGGAUGAAGGGAGCUUGCUCCUGGAUUCAGCGGCGGACAGGUGAGUAAUGCCUAGGAAUCUGCCUGGUAGUGGGGGAUAACGUCCGGAAACGGGCGCUAAUACCGCAUACGUCCUGAGGGAGAAAGUGGGGGAUCUUCGGACCUCACGCUAUCAGAUGAGCCUAGGUCGGAUUAGCUAGUUGGUGGGGUAAAGGCCUACCAAGGCGACGAUCCGUAACUGGUCUGAGAGGAUGAUCAGUCACACUGGAACUGAGACACGGUCCAGACUCCUACGGGAGGCAGCAGUGGGGAAUAUUGGACGAUGGGCGAAAGCCUGAUCCAGCCAUGCCGCGUGUGUGAAGAAGGUCUUCGGAUUUUAAAGCACUUUAAGUUGGGAGGAAGGGCAGUAAGUUAAUACCUUGCUGUUUUGACGUUACCAACAGAAUAAGCACCGGCUAACUUCGUG
rnacentral:rRNA from 1 species